UGUGUUUAAAAUGACUGCAAAAAACCCCAAAAACAUUUCUGUGUAUGAAACUGCUGUGGUUCCUUAUAGGACUUACUGAAUGCUACCGUUGACAUCAGCUGUGAGAGUGCCAGAGACAAACCAGAAUCACUGUGACUUCAUCACACUUUGUUCUGACUCUUAGUGGGACAUGCCACAAUAACAAGUAGGAGUGAACUCCUACUUCAUGGUUGUGUAUCACCAUCCAUCACACACAAAAGAGAUCAAAAGACAAAAAACAGAUGUCAACUUACAUGUUAUUAACUGAAAAACUACUGGGUGAGCUAAGGCACAGUAGGAUCAUUUCCCAAGAUGAGGAUACUUCAAACAUCUUUGGCUCAUCACCUCAAUACUAGUGGUAAACAUGGCUCAUUGCCUCUGAAAAGGAAGAUACUUUCCUGCAUGUCUAGUCGCAUCCCAAGAGGAGAAGCCCUAAGUACUCCCUGACAUUUAUCUUCCUUCCAGAGCCAGGAGAAACUGUAGGGUAAAUUCAGUACCCUUCUAGCACAAAGGAAGUACAGCAUUGUACUACAAUACUGAAUUAAAUUCUAUAGCAAAGCAGACUGAUAACUGCUGUUAUCAGUCUUGUCCAGUGCUUGCACUGAAACUUGUGGCAUUCUGCAAAAUCUU